rnacentral:rRNA from 1 species
GAGAAGAGCCUCGGAGACUGGGGACCUCGAGGAGGGUAGGGGCAAGCGGAACUAUGGGUGGAGCGGUGAAAUGCAUUGAUAUCCAUAGGAACUCCGGUGGCGAAGGCGGCUUGCUGGACCCUUUCUGACGCUGAGGCGCGAAAGCCAGGGGAGCAAACGGGAUUAGAUACCCCGGUAGUCCUGGCCCUAAACGUUGGGUACUAGGUAGUAGACCAGACAUGGGUUUACUGCCGGAGCAAAAGUGCUAAGUACCCCGCCUGGGGAGUAUGGUCGCAAGGCUGAAACUCAAAGGAAUUGACGGGGGCUCACACAAGCGGUGGAGCAUGUGGCUCAAUUCGAGGCUACGCGAAGAACCUUAUCCUGGGCUUGACAUGUGCGAAAGCGCCAGCAGGUAGGACACGGAAACGUGAACGAACGGUAUCCAAUCCGGAAGCUGGUACAGGUGCUGCAUGGCUGUCGUCAGCCCGUGUCGUGAGAUGUCGGGUUAAGUCCCAUAACGAGCGAAACCCUUACCCUCAGUUGCCAACGGGUCAUGCCGGGGACUCUGGGGGGACUGCCGGUGUCAAACCGGAGGAAGGUGGGGAUGACGUCAAGUCCUCAUGGCCUUUAUGCCCAGGGCUGCACACGUGCUACAAUGGCGUGGACAAAGGGACGCAAGAGCGCAAGCUGGAGCAAAUCCCAGAAAGCACGCCCCAGUUCAGAUCGAAGGCUGCAACUCGCCUUCGUGAAGUCGGAAUCGCUAGUAAUCGCGGGUCAGCAACACCGCGGUGAAUGUGUUCCUGAGCCUUGCACACACCGCCCGUCAAG